rnacentral:rRNA from 1 species
GGCGAACGGGUGAGUAACACGUAAGCAACCUACCCUAAAGACGAGGAUAACCAUUGGAAACAGUGGCUAAGACUGGAUAGGAAGAAAUAAGGCAUCUAUUUCUUUUAAAAGACCUAGUAAUAGGUAUACUUUAGGAGGGGCUUGCGCCAUAUUAGUUAGUUGGUAGGGUAUGGCCUACCAAGACGAUGAUGUGUAGCUGGACUGAGAGGUUGAACAGCCACAUUGGGACUGAGACACGGCCCAAACUCCUACGGGAGGCAGCAGUAAGGAAUUUUCGGCAAUGGAGGAAACUCUGACCGAGCAACGCCGCGUGAACGACGAGUACUUUGGUAUGUAAAGUUCUUUUAUCAAGGAAGAAAAGCAAGUGGCGAACCAUUUGUUUGCCGGUACUUGAUGAAUAAGCCCCGGCUAAUUAUGUGCCAGCAGCCGCGGUAAGACAUAAGGGGCAAGUGUUAUCCGGAAUUAUUGGGCGUAAAGGGUGCGUAGGCGGUCUAGUAAGUCAGUGGUGUAAUGGCAACGCUCAACGUUGUCCGGCUAUUGAAACUGCUAAACUUGAGUUAGAUAGAGGCGAGUGGAAUUCCAUGUGUAGCGGUAAAAUGCGUAAAUAUAUGGAGGAACA